rnacentral:rRNA from 1 species
AGAACGAACGCUGGCGGCGUGGAUAAGACAUGCAAGUCGAACGCGACUUAUUCGGUUAGCAAUAACUGGGUAAGUUGAGUGGCGAAAGGGUGCGUAACACGUGGGAAUUUACCAAGAAGUGGGGAAUAGCUCGACGAAAGUCGAAUUAAUACCGCAUGUGAUCGAAAGAUCAAAGCCGGGGACCGCAAGGCCUGGCGCUUUUUGAGAAGCCCGCGGCCCAUCAGCUAGUUGGCGGGGUAAAAGCCCACCAAGGCUAUGACGGGUAGCUGGUCUGAGAGGACGACCAGCCACACUGGAACUAAGACACGGUCCAGACACCUACGGGUGGCAGCAGUCGAGAAUUUUUCACAAUGGAC